GCGCGAAAAGACCGACCGGCUCUUCCCCCCAUUCUUUCCCUCGCCUCCCAGCGCGGCGAUAAAAUGUGAGACUACUAGUCUCCCGGCGGUGACCGGAACCCAUCCCCCCCCGGCCCUCGAAUCAUAAUCUCAUUUCUUGAGGUUUCAAGAAAAAUUCUGAGCCCUCCUCCGAUCUUUGGAUUCCUUCUUCGUUCUUCUUCGCAUCGAUCAAUCGUUCUGAUUUCGGCGGAGAGGGAUUGGCCUUGGAGAACGCUGAUCGUGGAGGGUCUUUCGCUUCAUUUGGGUCGGGCGAAGAGGUGAAGGAGCGGAGAGAGGGAUCUUGGAGGGGUCGACACCAUGAGGACGAUGGAGACGUUACAAGAUCUGAUCGAGGAGGCCAAGGUUCGAACCGUGUUCUGGGCCAUCUGCGUCUUUGCGAUCUCUUACUUCUUGUCGCAUACAAGUAAAUCAAUGUGGACAAAUAUACCAAUAUCAAUUCUCAUACUUUCAGUCUUCCGGUUUCUAUCUUAUGAGGUGGAGCUCCGCUGGAGGUUGCGUCCUGCCCAUAAGCAAACAUAUUUAUCUCACUUGGAAAAGAAGCAAUUAUCUCUAGACGAUUUUCGUCUUUCUACUGUGCCACCUUUUUCAAAGUGGAGGAGGAAAAUUGAUUCACCCACUGUGGAGGCUGCCAUGGAGGAAUUCAUUAACAGGAUCUUGCAGGAUUUCAUUGUAGAUCUUUGGUAUUCGUCUAUUACUCCUGACAAGGAUGCUCCAGAACUAAUGCGCACUAUCAUACUUGAUGCACUUGGUGAAAUAUCUGGAAGAGUUAAAAAGAUCAACCUCCUCGACUUGCUAACAAGGGACAUGGUUGACUUGAUAGGAAACCAAUUAGACCUUUACAGAAAAUAUCAAUCAGAGAUAGGCGUCGAUGUUAUGGGAACUCUUUCUUUUGAGGAGAGAGAUGAAAGGUUAAAAUGCCAUCUAAUAGCUUCCAAGGAACUUCACCCUGCUCUGUUAUCUCCGGAGUGUGAACAUCAGGUUCUUCAACGUAUUGUUGGAGGAGUUCUGACAAUAGUCUUGAGGCCACAAGAAGCUCAAUGCCCAUUAGUUCGCUGUUUGAGCAGAGAGCUGCUGACCUGCUUGGUUUUGCAACCUGUCAUGAACUUGGCCAGCCCUGGUUAUAUCAAUGAAUUGAUUGAAUAUAUAUUCCUCACGAAUAAAGAUAACAGAAUCGGAGAGGCAGACUCUGAUAGAUUAACCAAUGAAGCUAUUCUUGCCCAUGAUAAUAAUGUUUCUGGAGGAAAUACUCGUACUGCUCAACCUGAGUCAAGAACUGCAGCUUCUAGCCAAUCAGGUGACUUGAUAAUGGCUAAAAGUGGUGUGGAAAAAUCACUCGCUAGUUCUGAGCAUGGUCAUCUGAAAACAUUACAGGAAAGUUCUGAGCAUCAUAUACAGCCUUAUGCUGCAGAAUGGGCAAUGAUACUGGAUGCUGCUACAAAAAGAAGAUCUCAAGUCCUUGCCCCUGAGAAUCUUGAAAACAUGUGGACAAAAGGAAGAAACUACAAAAAGAAGGCUGCCACUCUUAUGAAGGCAGGAACUUCAUUGGAGUCUCCGAGUGCUGUGCCAGGAAAUGUAGAUAGUACUGUUCAUGCAGGAAACACAGGGAAGGGAUUGUUGACCAAUAUGAACGAAAGUACUAUAAGUAUAGAUGAUAAAUAUAUGGUUCACCUAAUGCAAGGAUCCAAUAAUAAUAGCCGAUCAAGUGUAGCACCAAACCAUGAGCAGCAUGUUUCUCAAGAUCUGGUUAGCAUGCAAUCUAAAGAGGGGGGUCAUUUUGGUGAUGGAAGUGAUGAAAAUGCCAGGAAAAUUUUUGAAAGUAAUAAAGAUCAGCUAAAGCGAUCUAGUAGCACGCCUGAUAUUGAAACAACAUUAAUGGGCAGAAGUGGUGAAAGUGAAACUACUGGUUUCAAGGAGAACUAUAGUCAAAACUUUAGCAAGCAUAAGCAAAAGCAAAGCUCUGAAUUAGUUUCCAAGAAUGAAGGAUCCUUCUAUGCUCCAAAGAUAAGGUGCCGGGUUGUUGGAGCAUAUUUUGAAAAGCUUGGAUCUAAAUCUUUUGCAGUUUAUUCAAUCGCUGUAACUGAUGCUGAGAACAAGACCUGGUUUGUGAAAAGAAGAUACCGAAAUUUUGAACGGCUGCAUCGGCAUCUAAAGGAUAUACCUAAUUAUACAUUGCAUUUGCCCCCAAAGAGGUUUCUUUCGUCCAGUAUCGAUGAUUAUUUUGUGCACCAGCGAUGCAUUCUUCUCGACAAAUAUUUGCAAGAUCUUCUGUCAAUUGCUAAUGUUGCAGAGCAACAUGAAGUAUGGGACUUUUUAAGUGAUACUUCAAAGAAUUACUCUUUCGGAAAAUCAACCUCAGUGAUGAAAACAUUAGCAGUCAAUGUGGAUGAUGCUGUGGAUGAUAUAGUUCGUCAAUUUAAAGGGGUUUCUGAUGGUCUGCGGCGUGUUGUUGGCUCAUCACCAUCUCAUGCAACUUCUCCCCCAAGAGCUGAAAAGAACAUGGCAUUACCAUGGAAUGAAGAAGUGACAAAUAAACUCUAUCCAGGCUAUAGUAAUGUAGACACUUCACAAAGUUUGUCUGAUGAUGAAGCCCAUGAUGAAGACCGAUCUUCUGCAGUAAACAACGGAUGGCACUCAGACAACGAAUUAAAUUCCAAAGUUUUUCCACCUCGUGUUGUCAAGCGCAUUGAAGAAUCUUCAAAUUUGGAUUCUCAGAGAAGCCAACGGUCUGAUAAAUUUGACAGGCUUGCAUUAAAUGCCUCAAAAACUUCAGUAGCAUCUGAGCUUUUUGAAGAUCCGGUUGGAAUGCCACCUGAGUGGACACCACCAAAUGUUAGUGUGCCAUUGUUGAAUCUAGUUGAUAAGAUAUUCCAACUGAAACGGAGAGGUUGGCUGAGAAGACAGGUCUUUUGGAUUUCAAAACAGAUUUUGCAGUUAAUUAUGGAAGAUGCAAUUGAUGAUUGGAUUCUAAGGCAGAUUUCUUUCCUACGAAGGGAUGAUGUUAUUGCACAAGGGAUUCGGUGGGUUCAAGAUAUUCUGUGGCCUAAUGGUACAUUCUUUUUAAAGUUGGAGAGAAGUCAAAGGAAUAUGGACGACAGUCAUUUUAGUCAGCAACCAACUCAAAAUACCAGUCAGAUAUAUGGUAAUAAGGUGACCAGACCAAGCUCUUUUGAGCUCCAGCUUGAGGCAGCUCGUAGAGCAAGUGAUGUCAAGAAAAUGAUACUUGGUGAGACAGCUUUCAUUUACGGAUUCUGAAUGUUGGUGGAGCUCCAACUGCAUUAGUCAGCUUGAUUGGGCGUAGUCAAUACAGGCGGUGUGCAAAGGACGUUUAUUACUUUAUCCAGUCUACUGUCUGUGUUAAGCAGCUAGCAUAUAGCAUGUUGGAGCUGGUGCUUGUUUCGGUGUUCCCGGAAUUACGUGAUCUAAUACUAGAUAUACAUCUGAAGGCACGUAAUCAGCCGUGUUUGUAGAUUCGUUCACUAUGUGGUAUCUCUUGCACUUCAGCAGUCAUGAGCUUGAACCUGAAGUAAACUUCUGAGUUCAUCAGCUAGCAUUUUUUAUCUCUCCCUCUGGUCGACAUUUUGACAGGUCACCAUUCUGCUGAAGUUGAAUUUGAGGACGAAAUCAUGGAUUUUGAGUGGUUUUGUAUAUUGCCAUUCAAAAUGUACAGUUGUACAUUGGAAGCCUGUGUGUUUUUAUUACCUGAGUUUCACCAAAUGAAUGAGAAUAGUUGUACAAGAUAUUCAGUCUAGACACUAACUAGUCUAGUGAAGUGGUUAUCCGUUAUAAGUAUACGGUUCCAUGUAAUUCUUUUCAUUGGAUUUAUUUCUUGGGGUUCCAUAUAUGAAGUACAAAUCGUAAGAGUCAAUGUCCGCCUUUCCUGGGUAUUUGCUCUU